CACACACACACACACACACACAGCUUGUACAUACUAAUCAGAACAAGCGGCUUUAACUGAGGAUCCGAACAAAUCAAAAAUCGCAGAUACACAAACAUUCCCUGGUCUUGUUGAGAGGAAUUUACUUCUGGUGCUUGAGCUGCUGAGCGGUGCUGAGCCACAAGGGGGCGAUAAUAGGCCUUUAUUCCGGAUCCGUUUGCAGGAAAAAAAAAUUAUAAUAAAAAGAAGCAGACCCAAUUAUCUUAAAUCAACCUGACUAUGGUCUGGAAUGGACUUCUGAACCGAUGAGAAAUCUAGUUUUGCAGACAUAUUUUGCAGAUGUUUUCGUUCAUCCUUGGCGGUGUGGCCGACUGCCCUUUCCUUUGUCAGUAUUACUUCAGGAAUACUGAUUGUUUACAGCCCAUGGUUCCCAAACCGCGAUUCUUGAUGAAAGACAAAGUAUUCACUGCAACAGUUCUUGUUUGUAUAACAGAUGUGGCUCUACUGAUGUGUAUGUUUUAUAUUCAAGAGUUCAUUUUUAUUAUUUACAAAUAAAAGACUGUGUGGAAGAAGAGCCUGGCCUUCUUUAAUCACCGAUGUCUCAAGCUAUUGAGAAGCAGCUGACAGCAGAGAUAAAUUUACAUGUUAUCAGGUUGAUUUUCUUACAUUCUGAGUUUUUUAAAAAAAAAUUUGGUAUCUGUACAGAUUUGUAAAAAGCAGAGUUCUCUUAUUUCAACAUUGUUGCAUAUUCUUUUUUGCUAUUAUGACCACAUUGAGUUUUCUGUAACUUUUUACAGGAUUGGAGCGAACCGACAGAGGGAUCUUCGACGGUGUUCAGAUUGUCGUGUUUUCUCUUUUGCCCUCUUCAGUUCAGAUCAACUGGGUGAUUUUCUUCAGGAUUUUGAUUUGUCGACUGAAAAAAGACAGUAAUGUCCUCGGAUGAAGAUCCGAUGUGUCCAAGAUAUUUGACAACCACUGCUUGGACUCUUGCUGAGACUCAGACUUUGAUGAGAUGACCGUCAUCCUGGCUGCUUCACACACACCUGCGAACCUUUGCUGUGAGAGCUGAAGGUCACGUAUUGAAGACGGAAACAGAACUGCUGAAAGCAAAGAGGAGACCCUGAGGCGACGCCUCAACAAGCUGGACUCCGGCUUGAAUUACAAGGUUCCUUUUGUUUUUUUGAGUCUGCUGAAAUAAAAAGCGCAGCAGUUCAA